GACCGCUCCGGUCGCCUCAGUGGUUAGAACUUCCGCCUCGGAUGCGGAAGAUCCCGUGUUCGAAUCCGGCUGAGUCA